CGGCUCGCCGCCGCUGCCCCCCGCCGUGGGGGCUGUUGGGCACGACCCUGACCACGGCGCCAUCCGGCGACAGCCGUCAUCCUUCCGGUGCCUGGUCGACAGCCGGCGAGGUUGUUGUUCCGAUGUCGGAGGCGGUUGCGAGGUGCCUCCGGGACGGGCGCCUCGACGGAGAGCACGCUCCGGCGCUGGCCGUGGGGAGUACUCUCCGGUGCAGCCCGCUCGCCGCUCGCGCCAUGCUCCACCUCGCGGCCGCCGUCGCCUCCCACGCUGCCGCAGGGAAGGCGCAGGCGAGGGGAUUGGUGAUCGUGGCGUUUGAUCGGAGCCCGGAGGUGUAUCUCGACUUUAUGCGGCGCCGCGGCCUUGACCAAAAUGCUUUGAAUCGAUGUGUUCACAUACUGGAUUGCUAUUCGGACCCAAUUGGAUGGAAGGAGAAGAUUAGAAGUCAGCAGCAACAUGAAAGUAGUGUGGAUCUGUGCGCAACGAACAAAGCGAACGUCAUAGUUUUCAGAAAUGUGAAGGACGUUGAUAAAUUGCUAUGCUCCAGUAUUGAUCUUGGAAGAGGGUUUGAAGGAACGGGGAAAAUCUGUUUUUCAAUUGCUGUUGAUUCGAUUAGCUCUAUGUUAAGGCAUGCUUCAGUGUCAUCAAUUUCAAGCUUCCUUAGUAAUCUUCGAAGCCAUGAUCAAAUAUCAUCAAUCUUCUGGCUUAUACAUUCAGACCUCCAUGAACCAAAAUUUUCGCGUGCUUUUGAAUGUCUCACUACCAUGGUUGCUUCAUUAGAGCCAGCUGUGGUUGAUUCCGUUCACGAGGAAGAAAUUCCAGGGGAUGUGUCUUUCCUCGAGGAAAAUUAUUCUAAAGCCAAGUUUUAUGUACGCCUUAAACGACGGAAUGGACGGGUGAAGCACCUUUAUGAGGAGUUGCAUGUUGAGGGAAACGAGGUUAGAUUUGUUUCUAUGCCUUCUGUAAGUACAGAAGUGAACCAAAGUCUAUUGCCUAAGGUUCAGUUCAACCUUGAGCUAUCAGAGAAGGAGCGCAGUGACAGGGCAAAUGUUGUUCUUCCUUUUGAACAUCAAGGAAAGGGUGAGCCUAUCCGCAUAUAUGAUGGACGGCGAUCUCUCCCAGAGGAUCAAAGAGAUCCCAAUUUAACUGCAUCUGCUCUCCUGGACGAAGUUCCAAAAUCUGCCACUCCAAAGGGUGAAAUUCAUUACAUUCGUGAUUCUGAUGAUGAGCAACCUGACUCUGAUGAAGACCCAGAUGAUGAUUUGGAUAUUUGAGUUCUCGCAUGGUUUGAGAUCUUUACCUCAGCAUGCAGAAUGCCUGAAGCAUUCGUAACACACAAGUUAACCUAUAAUCGGAAGCAAUGCGGUGAUAUGAAUGAACUACGAACUAAGAAGCUUCGAACUGUUCUUUCCAUUGCAUAUUGCCAAAUCCGGAGUAUUUUUAUUUGCCAUUGAUCAAUUAUCGAAUGAAGAGAAUACAUAUGAACAUGCUAGUACGUACCAGGAGCGAAUUCUGAACUCGUCUGUUGUCGGCACAAGAUUUAUAUGGGUCGCAUUCUUCGUUCUUAAAAUUUUCUUUGAAUGAUCUGUACAAGUAUAUGAUUGCCAAGUAAAAGAAGGCUGGAAUGGCAACAAAUGGAAGAGGGAAUUACACUCCUUUUUUCGCUCAUCAAGGAACAGACAGCAACACGAUGGGUUCAGUUUCUUCAAUGGUGCUAUCUCCUACCAACUCACCAUGAGAGUUUUUGACCGUUUGUAUACCCAGGCAUUUCGAUGCUGAAUCACGAGAGAGCAUCAGGGAAAACCAAGCCCCCAGCUGAACCUGACCCAGAGAUUCACAUGACAAUCGACGAAGUACAUUCGAUUGCAAGUAUUUUGGGCCGUGCACAGGCAAGGAAAGCUUGUGGGUCUCUACUUGGACCUUUGUGUACACCACACAGACAGCCAUGGAUGACACAUUACUCCUACUUUCUGUUGCCAACACAAGCAUAUGGCCCUGUUUAGUAUCUAAAUUUUUUUUCCCAAAACCAUCGCAUCGAAUCUUUAGAUAUCUAAAUAGAGCAUUAAAUA